GCCCUGGUGGCAGAGUGGUUAAAUGCCUGUCCUGCAGCCACAAGGUUGCGAGUUCAAUACUAGCCAGGGCU
rnacentral:tRNA from 1 species